rnacentral:rRNA from 1 species
AACGCGAAGAACCUUACCAAGGCUUGACAUAUAGCGAAAAGUGGCAGAGAUGUCAUGUCCGCAAGGGCGCUAUACAGGUGGUGCAUGGUUGUCGUCAGCUCGUGUCGUGAGAUGUUGGGUUAAGUCCCGCAACGAGCGCAACCCUCGUUCUGUGUUACCAGCAUUAAGUUGGGGACUCACAGGAGACUGCCGGGGUCAACUCGGAGGAAGGUGGAGAUGACGUCAAAUCAUCAUGCCCCUUAUGUCUUGGGCUGCACGCAUGCUACAAUGGCCGGUACAAAGUGCUGCGAAAUCGUAAGAUUUAGCGAAUCACAUAAAGCCGGUCUCAGUUCGGAUUGAGGUCUGCAACUCGACCUCAUGAAGUCGGAGUUGCUAGUAAUCGUAGAUCAGCAACGCUACGGUGUAUACGUUCCCGGGUCUUGUACACACCG